AUGAACAUAGCUGAUGCUGAUCUCAGAUCAGUGUUUAUCUGCUGUUUUCUCUCUUUCUCUGCUGGAGUUUGUGUUCAUCUGAGUGUGACGGAGGUUUUUGUACGACGCUUUCACUACAAUCAAACACUGUGGUGGACUUUUGGUGGAGGAACUAAACUGACGGUCAAAACUGCUGCAGUGGUGAAGCCGUCCGUGUCUCUGCUGUCUUCCUCCUCUUCUCCUCCGUCUCUGCUCUGCCUGCUCAGCUCUUACUCUCCACAGGGGGCGCAGGUGAGCUGGAUGCUGGACUCGUCAGAGGUCACCCAGGGGGUUGAGACCAGCGCAGAGAGCGAGCGGGACGGACUCUACAGCAGCAGCAGCGUCCUGAAACUCAGUGAAGAACGCUGGGAAGGAGCAAAUCGGUUGGUCUGCAGAGUAAGACAUGAAGGAGCUGAUCAGGAGAGCUCGUUCCUCAAGAGCUCCCAGUGCUGAUGUUUCUCCAGGAUUCACAGCUGAUUGACAGAUUCUCAAUACUCCAGCAGCUUUCAGUGCAGCGCUUUCUGUCAUUGCUGAUGCUUCAAUAAAGCAGAUCAACCAGCUCA